rnacentral:rRNA from 1 species
AUUGAACGCUGGCGGCAGGCUUAACACAUGCAAGUCGAACGGUAGCAGGAGAAAGCUUGCUUUCUUGCUGACGAGUGGCGGACGGGUGAGUAAUGCUUGGGAAUCUGGCUUAUGGAGGGGGAUAACUACGGGAAACUGUAGCUAAUACCGCGUAGAAUCGGAAGAUGAAAGUGCGGGACCGCAAGGCCGCAUGCCAUGAGAUGAGCCCAAGUGGGAUUAGGUAGUUGGUGGGGUAAGGGCCUACCAAGCCUGCGAUCUCUAGCUGGUCUGAGAGGAUGGCCAGCCACACUGGAACUGAGACACGGUCCAGACUCCUACGGGAGGCAGCAGUGGGGAAUAUUGCGCAGUGGGGGGAACCCUGACGCAGCCAUGCCGCGUGAAUGAAGAAGGCCUUCGGGUUGUAAAGUUCUUUCGGUAUUGAGGAAGGUUGAUGUGUUAAUAGUACAUCAAAUUGACGUUAAAUACAGAAGAAGCACCGGCUAACUCCGU